GGUUGGCAGUAGCUUGGUUAAGGGAAUCUACCGGAGCCAUAGCGAAAGCGUGUCUUUAUAGAGUAAUUGUCACGGUUUAUGGACCCGAAACUGGGUGAUCUAUCUAUGACAAGAAUGAAGCUUGGGUGAAACUAAGUGGAGGUUUGAACCCACUGAUGUUGAAGAAUUAGGGGAUGGGUUGUGGUUAGGGAUGAAAUACCAUUCGAACCUAGAACUACUUGG
rfam:Nicotiana sylvestris Nsyl_contig137785, whole genome shotgun sequence.